rnacentral:rRNA from 1 species
UGAGGAAUAUUGGACAAUGGGCGCAAGCCUGAUCCAGCCAUGCCGCGUGCAGGAUGACGGUUCUAUGGAUUGUAAACUGCUUUUGUACAGGAAGAAACAGUUCUACGUGUAGAACCUUGACGGUACUGUAAGAAUAAGGAUCGGCUAACUCCGUGCCAGCAGCCGCGGUAAUACGGAGGAUCCAAGCGUUAUCCGGAAUCAUUGGGUUUAAAGGGUCCGUAGGCGGUUAGAUAAGUCAGUGGUGAAAGCCCAUCGCUCAACGGUGGAACGGCCAUUGAUACUGUCUGACUUGAAUUAUUAGGAAGUAACUAGAAUAUGUAGUGUAGCGGUGAAAUGCUUAGAGAUUACAUGGAAUACCAAUUGCGAAGGCAGGUUACUACUAAUGGAUUGACGCUGAUGGACGAAAGCGUGGGUAGCGAACAGGAUUAGAUACCCCUGUAGUCCCUGAGCGGGCUGGCAAGGCGCAU